UACGUAGGUGGCAAGCGUUGUCCGGAUUUACUGGGCGUAAAGGAUGCGUAGGCGGACACUUAAGUCAGAUGUGAAAUACCCGAGCUUAACUUGGGUGCUGCAUUUGAAACUGGGUGUCUAGAGUGCAGGAGAGGUAAGUGGAAUUCCUAGUGUAGCGGUGAAAUGCGUAGAGAUUAGGAAGAACACCAGUGGCGAAGGCGACUUACUGGACUGUAACUGACGCUGAGGCAUGAAAGCGUGGGGAGCAAACAGG
rnacentral:rRNA from 1 species